UGAAAGUUUUUUGGCUUUUUUUACAGAUUCACAAACAAAACAAACAGGUCAUGAGGUCAAGGGGUUACAAAGAUUGCAUUGCUUAGACAGACUUUUAUCAGUUUUGUGACAUUGUCAUGUGUAAUUGAAAAUGUGACUGUAACUCUAAAUACGUUGGUGCUAAUCUGAAAAUGGCACUCCUUUUCUUGUUUGUUUUAUGUUCUCAAUCUCAGUUCUUGUUGGGAAGUCUUUCAUCAUCUCUUAAGUCAUCAGUUCUCUCCUUAAAAUUACUUUUCUGCUCCAUCACCAACUAGUCCUGUUCUUUCCUUUCAAGGUGUCCUAACACCACCUGACCAGGAAUGUUCCCGGGAGCAGCACAGUACUGAGAAAUAGGAAGUCUAGAUUUAGUCCCACUCUCUGCUCCACUCCACUCCACUCUCUUGUGCCUCCCUGGGGCUUUAAUGUGGAGAGUGGACAGUGGGGUUAAUGCCUAGCUGUAAGCACUGCUUAGAACCAGUGAUUGGGUUUGUGUUGCAGCGGUCCUUCCCCCACUAGCAAAAAAAUCCACUGGAAAUGACUUCCACUGUCCAACCCUGUGGGCACUUGUGAUUUCCCAACAUGCACUUUCAGCUCGCCUCUUCUUUGUUGCAGCUCAGCGUCCCAGAGGGCACAGGUGAAUUUGAUGUGGAACAAUGAUUAAAAGUUUUCACCCUCAAGGUGACCUAAAUACAUGAGGAGGUGAAAGUCAAAGUGAGAGGCAUGGAGAUGAGAGAGGGCCACGGAGGUCAAAGUCUGUUUUGGCCCAUAUAGCAAGUGCUCAAUCCUGAGCUCAGGGAAGAAAUUAUCCAGAGCCUGUCCUUACACUCUUAUUGCACCAUUCCUGCCUCUAUCCCUUCAAGUAAUCAGUGAUUGUGUGUGACAUGAUUGGUAUACAGCACCAUACCACAGAGAGGAGGCAUAGCCAAUCUAAUCACUGUCACAUCAGUGAUUACCUCCAGGCGUGACGUAUUUGAACAAGGCUCUAUCACAUCUGUUAUAACCUGCCUCUUCCUGCCUUAUGCCCCUCCGUACACAUUUUUACUCUUAACCGCAUGUUCAAUCACCACUGCCGGCAUUGCCCGCUGGUGCAGCCGAGUGACCUCUCGACAGUGACUUAUGCCAGCGAUUAGCCUGGAUAGAGUUCAAUUAUGAUAAAUCGCCAGUGCACCUCUUAGGCCAUGAUUAAAGCCUCAGCCCCGCCUUGAUAAAGAGAUUCCAUCUCAAUGCCAUCACAACCACAUUAUUAGACACUAUGCUGUGGUGUUCUGCCUCAUGCUUUUCACAUCAGUACUGUAGAAUGUACACUGUAGCCCCGACUGGAGCUCAUGGCAGGUAGGGGUAGAUGAGAGUUUAUGGGGGGCUUUAUCAUUCACACAUGACUGGUGAUGCAUCCCUGCACAACUAUUUUCAAUUUGGACUAGUAUUUAUUAAUAACCUCCACCUUCUUAAAGCCUAUCAUACAAGAUACCUGCCAUACAACUUAAAGAUGGGUUUAGAUACUGGGAAAUAGCAAGGGGAGGGGGUGAGAAAGAGGAGCCCCAGUUUUGAUAAAUGGAUGAGCAGUGAUGAAAAGAAGAUAUCUGAAGAGCAUGAAGGAAGAGAGGGGAAGAGAGCAGAGCAUUAAUCCAACAUGAGGCAAGUAGAGAGAGCCAGUGAGAAUGAGACAGAGGAAAGGGGAGAGAGGGGAGGAGGAAGCAAGAAAGAUAGCCUUUCGGCUGUGUUCUGUCAAGGGAGAAAUUACACAUUUACGGAGGUUUUUUCAAGCAACAACGGGUUCCAUAGAUCAAACCACUGGAUUUAUGAGCCAAUUUUCAACAUGAAAUAUAGACACCAAGAAUCCAUUUUAGCCAUGUUUACUUGCCUUCUCUCACUGCUUUUCUUUUUCUCUCUCAAUCAAAAAAGCCACAGUGGGCAAGGGUGGCUCUACCACUGGUACUUCAGUAGCGCUUAUUAGAGCUGUAAAUGAAGGGGUUUUAACUGUUGUCAUGUGGUAAAGAUGCAACCACUGAGCUACUUUGUGGUAGAAAGUGUUGACAGGUAAGUUAAGAUGGCUAUCAAAAGGAAAUAACCGAAAUAGAAAUAACCUAUCCAAACAUCACCAUGCAGUUUUCUGUUAAAUACUGAGACAUGUGAUACCAUUUGGAGCACUCUGGAGAAUUAUUUGCAAACUGCAGUAUGUGGAGUUUAUAAGUUUAUAGUAGAAUAGAGUGUGUGCAUAGCUUUGCAGAUAUGUACACACUAUUCUGGAAAAACUACUGAUAAUUUGCAUAGAAAUUAAUGUCUGAGUAGGCUAAACGACAUAAUUGACACGCAAUUAGCAAUAUUAUAAGGGAACCUAAUGAAGUUUCCAUGGCAGUGGCUGUACCAACCUUAGAAUGAUCACUGCUUAAUUAUCAUAUUAAUGAAGUCAUUAGUUGUCACUUAACUUAGAUGACAGGUAAGGUAAGAAUGUCAUGAUUCUACAAUUUUCCCAGCAAAUGUG